AGAGUUUGAUCCUGGCUCAGGACGAACGCUGGCGGCGCGCCUAACACAUGCAAGUCGAACGGCACCUGCCCUCGGGCAGAAGCGAGUGGCGAACGGCUGAGUAACACGUGGAGAACCUGCCCCCUCCCCCGGGAUAGCCGCCCGAAAGGACGGGUAAUACCGGAUACCCCGGGGUGCCGCAUGGCACCCCGGCUAAAGCCCCGACGGGAGGGGAUGGCUCCGCGGCCCAUCAGGUAGACGGCGGGGUGACGGCCCACCGUGCCGACAACGGGUAGCCGGGUUGAGAGACCGACCGGCCAGAUUGGGACUGAGACACGGCCCAGACUCCUACGGGAGGCAGCAGUGGGGAAUCUUGCGCAAUGGGGGGAACCCUGACGCAGCGACGCCGCGUGCGGGACGGAGGCCUUCGGGUCGUAAACCGCUUUCAGCAGGGAAGAGUCAAGACUGUACCUGCAGAAGAAGCCCCGGCUAACUACGUGCCAGCAGCCGCGGUAAUACGUAGGGGGCGAGCGUUAUCCGGAUUCAUUGGGCGUAAAGCGCGCGUAGGCGGCCCGGCAGGCCGGGGGUCGAAGCGGGGGGCUCAACCCCCCGAAGCCCCCGGAACCUCCGCGGCUUGGGUCCGGUAGGGGAGGGUGGAACACCCGGUGUAGCGGUGGAAUGCGCAGAUAUCGGGUGGAACACCGGUGGCGAAGGCGGCCCUCUGGGCCGAGACCGACGCUGAGGCGCGAAAGCUGGGGGAGCGAACAGGAUUAGAUACCCUGGUAGUCCCAGCCGUAAACGAUGGACGCUAGGUGUGGGGGGACGAUCCCCCCGUGCCGCAGCCAACGCAUUAAGCGUCCCGCCUGGGGAGUACGGCCGCAAGGCUAAAACUCAAAGGAAUUGACGGGGGCCCGCACAAGCAGCGGAGCAUGUGGCUUAAUUCGAAGCAACGCGAAGAACCUUACCAAGUCUUGACAUCCUUCUGACCGGUACUUAACCGUACCUUCUCUUCGGAGCAGGAGUGACAGGUGGUGCAUGGUUGUCGUCAGCUCGUGUCGUGAGAUGUUGGGUUAAGUCCCGCAACGAGCGCAACCCUUAUCUUUAGUAGCCAGCGGUUCGGCCGGGCACUCUAGAGAGACUGCCAGGGAUAACCUUGAGGAAGGCGGGGAUGACGUCAAAUCAUCAUGCCCCUUAUGACUUGGGCUACACACGUGCUACAAUGGCGUAAACAAAGGGAAGCAAAGCUGUGAAGCCGAGCAAAUCUCAAAAAUAACGUCUCAGUUCGGACUGUAGUCUGCAACCCGACUACACGAAGCUGGAAUCGCUAGUAAUCGCAGAUCAGAAUGCUGCGGUGAAUACGUUCCCGGGUCUUGCACACACCGCCCGUCA
rnacentral:rRNA from 1 species